UUUUAUGAGAUUAAAUAAAGAGUCUUACUCACUCUACAGCAGCUUGCUUGAAUUGACUCAUGGCACUCCCCUCUCUGUGACUUGCAGUUAGGAGUAGACAUGCUUGAAACAACAUCUCCUCUUCAUUUACAGAGGAACAGCCCUGAGAUGGGGCCUAUGCCCCACACUGGCAAGUAUAGGGUUAAGAGGGAGCCUGAGGGCCCAAUUAGUCCAGUCUGUGGCAGCAGGAGGGGAGAUGCUAAUUGACAAUUAGACCCAGCUGGAGAGAACCAGAGGGGGUGGUUCUGGUAAAGGAAGGGCUGCAGGGCCCAGGAGGAGACCUGAGAAAGCAGAGCUGUAGUAGGGAGCUUGUACCCUGGGCCUGAAAGGAGAAGGCAGCAGGGGCAAAGUGUCUCUAGGCAGCUGCCAGAGAAGCUUGGGGAUACCCUGAGAAAGCUCCUUAGCAACAGGCUGAGAAAAGCUGCACGGAGACAAGACUGGAGGGCGCAGCUCCAGGAUAGAUGCUUUCAAGCAGCAUUCGGAAGAUGAGACUGAGGAAGAGAGAGAGAGAGAGAGAGAGAGAAGCUGUGACAAAUUGACUUAUUGGAUUGCUAUAUAGAAAUGUACAUUCUCUGGAUGCACCCAGGGAUGAUUUACACCAACUCGUGAUCUGUUUUGCUGUUCCAGACUAUUGGGCUCAUCAGUUUAUUCAACUGACUUUUUAAAUGGACUCAUUUUUUCUGACUUUGGAAAAGGUGGCAAGAAUCUAAUUGUGCUGGGGUGGGGCAGAGGGGAAAUCAAACACCAGUUGUCUGACUCUGUCAGCAGAAGACAUGGUCUCAGGAAGACCUCAGUGUACAAUUCUACGGCAGUGACUCUUCUGGUUGAAUUAGAUAUCAGUCAUUUACACGUAAAAUACCCAUUGUUAUAAAACCUGUGACUCUGCACAAUCCAGUGUGGGAUGUUUAGUAGUUUCUUAUCCAGAGGGACAGAUGUUAGAGAAAAUCGUUUAGAUAUGGGCCUCUAGUUCAGAUUAAACAUUCCACGACACAUCUCCACAUGGUAAUUAGAACUUGGGAUCUCUCUUGCUAGACUGCUGUGUAUACAUUCUCUGGACCAAACUGUAGAUUACUAGCUCCCCCGAUGGGAUUUUUUUUUUCUAAAUCACAGUUGUUUCAUUUUUAUGUUGCUUGCUAGAUUAAGUUUUAAAGCUGUGUGGUUCUUUUUCAUGCAGCAUGAGACCAGGAAUUUUUACCGGUGUAGAGUUUUUGCAAGUUUUUCUUCCUACCGUAAGCAAAACUCAGCAAAUCAAGGGUGAUUCAUCUUCAAACAGCAAGUGAUUUAAACCAAGCAAUGCCUUUUGAUUUAUGAUAAUGGGAAAAGAUUUCAAAGUGGGAAUAGGAUUGGCUGAAAAUUCAUACAGCACACAUUUUUUAUAAGAAGCAGCAUUAUAUUCAUGCACUCAACUAAUUUCGUAUUAUGGGUUUUAUUUAUUUUAAAAGUUAUUUAGUGAAUUUAAUGCCAGUGAAUGAUUGACAGCCUUGGAAGCAAGUCUGCUAUUAGAACACAUGUGAGCAGUGUCAGUGAAAAUUCCCUACACUGCCCUGCCAUUAUGCCUCAAGUCUGACACAAAAGGACCACCUCUAGGGCUGACGGGGUCUAAUUCCUUGAUUCAGCAUAGCACUUAUGUGCGUGGUUACAAAGGUGUACACUUAAGCGCAUGCUCAACUUUAUUGCUGAGGCUGGGCCUAGCGUCAUUUAACAUAUACAGGGUUACCAACCCAAAGUGUUAGAAAAAAUUAGUCCCCCCAAAACAGUGGUUCUCAAACUUAGUUGAUUGGGCCCCCC